rnacentral:rRNA from 1 species
UACGGAGGGUGCAAGCGUUAUCCGGAUUCACUGGGUUUAAAGGGUGGCGUAGGUGGAUUGGUAAGUCAGUGGUGAAAUCUCCGGGCUUAACCCGGGAAACUGACCCAUUGAUACUAUCAGUUCUUGAAUACCGUGGAGGUCAGUAGAAUGAUGGUACAUGUAGCGGUGAAAUGCUUAGAUAUGACAUAGAAUACCAAUUGCGAAGGCAGCUGGCUACACGAAUAUUGACACUCAGGCACGAAAGCGUGGGGAUCAAACAGG